GCGGAUGUAGUUCAGCGGUAGAGCAUCGCCUUGCCAAGGCGAGGGUCGCGGGUUCAAGUCCCGUCUUCCGCUCCA
rnacentral:tRNA from 1 species